GUUGAGGACUCUAGCGAGACUGCCUGGGUUAACCAGGAGGAAGGUGGGGAUGACGCAAAAUCAUCAUGCCCCUUAUGUGUAGGGCUACACACGUGCUACAAUGGCUGGUACAGAGAGAUGCAAUACCGCGAGGUGGAGCCAAACUUAAAAACCAGUCUCAGUUCGGAUUGUAGGCUGAAACUCGCCUACAUGAAGCUGGAGUUACUAGUAAUCGCGAAUCAGAAUGUCGCGGUGAAUACGUUCCCGGGUCUU
rnacentral:rRNA from 1 species